UACAGAGGGGGCAAGCGUUGUUCGGAAUUACUGGGCGUAAAGAGCGUGUAGGCGGCCAGUCAGGUCCGUUGUGAAAACUCGAGGCUCAACCUCGAGACGCCGAUGGAAACCGACUGGCUAGAGUCCGGAAGAGGAGAGUGGAAUUCCCGGUGUGAGCGGUGAAAUGCGCAGAUAUCGGGGAAGAACACCCGUGGCUAAGGCGGCUCUCUAGUACGGUACUGACGCUGAGACGCGAAAGCGUGGGGAGCGAACAGG
rnacentral:rRNA from 1 species